UGCAGACGUUCAGGAGCGCCUGCUGCC
rnacentral:piRNA from 1 species